CCCCACACACACCAGCAUUCCAAGUUCAAAACCACGUAUUCAGACUGAUAAAACCUCCCAGAAAUGCCCAGCCCACCUCCAUCCACACCCUACUUCUCACUCCUCUUACUUCUCUUCAGCUCAUCUCUCAUCCGAGCCUCUCAUGGCGGCGGGAUCGCCAUUUACUGGGGUCAGAACGGCAAUGAAGGUACCCUCGCCAGUACAUGUGCCACCAACAGAUACGCCUACGUAAACCUCGCGUUCCUCUAUAAGUUUGGCAGCGGCCAGACCCCGCAAAUCAACCUCGCAGGCCACUGUGACCCCACCUCGGGUGGCUGCACUAGCAUAAGCAACGGCAUUCGGGGCUGCCAGAAUCAGGGCAUCAAGGUGAUGCUCUCCCUCGGCGGCGGCGUUGGGAGCUACUCGUUGGCAUCUCAGGCCGAUGCGAGGAACGUAGCAGACUAUCUGUGGAACAAUUUCUUGGGCGGCACGUCAAGUUCUCGUCCCCUGGGAGAUGCAGUCUUGGACGGUAUCGACUUUGAUAUUGAACUUGGGUCUACCAAAUAUUGGGAUGAUCUUGCCCGCUAUUUAUCAGACUACAGCAAGAGAGGAAAAAAGGUGUACUUAACAGCAGCUCCUCAGUGCCCGUAUCCCGACAGUCAUUUGGGGACUGCACUUAAAACCGGUCUUUUCAACUACGUCUGGGUACAGUUUUACAAUAACCCUCCAUGUCAAUACAGCUCGGGGGAUAUUAGCAAGAUCACACGUUCUUGGAGCACGUGGGUUGCUUCCAUAAACUCCGAGAAGAUGUUCUUGGGCCUGCCGGCAUCCCCGGCAGCAGCAGGAAGUGGGUAUGUUCCACCGGACGUAUUGACUUCUAAGAUACUUCCUGUCAUAAAGAAGUCAGCAAAAUAUGGAGGCGUAAUGCUGUGGUCAAAGUACUAUGAUGAUAAGAAUGGUUACAGUGACUCCAUUAAGAGUAGUGUGUGAGUUGGAUCUCCAUGCAUGAGAGGAGUAUAGCCUUUUCUCUAGAAUUAAAUAAAGCUGCUGGCAAGCGGUCAUUUACAUGGAUUCACAUGAUCCCAAAGACAGUUCCGGUCUAAUGUUUCCUUGAGUUACUUGCAAAGAUUGUCAUCUUGUCCUCUUUUACUUCUAGAUCUCUGCAACAUGCUUACGACCUGUUCUCUACCUCCAUAUUUUUAUCAAAAAGGCGAGAGGAAUUAAACGCAGGCAUAGUUUGCCUCCUUUCUUCGACCUCUAAUGGCCACUGUUAGCCUAUUAUUCUUUGCUUCUCGCUUGUUUUCCACCACCGUGAUGUAUGUACAUGGAUAAAUUCCAUUGUCAUGUUUAAAGACUCUUCAGAGAGUCCAGCGUACGGGGGCAAAUGUGUCUUCAUAGACCAGCAAAAGUAAAACUUUUGUUUCCCAAU